CGUGGGUAACCUGCCCAAGAGACUGGGAUAACACCUGGAAACAGAUGCUAAUACCGGAUAACAACACGAGACGCAUGUCUAGAGUUUAAAAGAUGGUUCUGCUAUCACUCUUGGAUGGACCUGCGGUGCAUUAGCUAGUUGGUAAGGUAACGGCUUACCAAGGCAAUGAUGCAUAGCCGAGUUGAGAGACUGAUCGGCCACAUUGGGACUGAGACACGGCCCAAACUCCUACGGAAGGCAGCAG
rnacentral:rRNA from 1 species